rnacentral:rRNA from 1 species
CAGUUGGCGGGGUAACGGCCCACCAAACCGACGAUGGAUAGGGGUUCUGAGAGGAAGGUCCCCCACAUUGGUACUGAGACACGGACCAAACUCCUACGGGAGGCAGCAGUGAGGAAUAUUGGUCAAUGGCCGAGAGGCUGAACCAACCAAGUCGCGUGAAGGAUGAAGGAUCUAUGGUUUGUAAACUUCUUUUAUAGGGGAAUAAAGUGUGGGACGUGUCCCAUUUUGUAUGUACCCUAUGAAUAAGCAUCGGCUAACUCCGUGCCAGCAGCCGCGGUAAUACGGAGGAUGCGAGCGUUAUCCGGAUUUAUUGGGUUUAAAGGGUGCGUAGGUGGUAAUUUAAGUCAGCGGUGAAAGUUUGUGGCUCAACCAUAAAAUUGCCGUUGAAACUGGGUUACUUGAGUGUGUUUGAGGUAGGCGGAAUGCGUGGUGUAGCGGUGAAAUGCAUAGAUAUCACGCAGAACUCCAAUUGCGAAGGCAGCUUACUAAACCAUAACUGACACUGAAGCACGAAAGCGUGGGUAUCAAACAGGAUUAGAUACCCUGGUAGUCCACGCAGUAAACGAUGAUUACUAGGAGUUUGCGAUACACAGUAAGCUCUAC